UAACACAUAGACACAUCUCAGAUUAACAUGCAACUUCCACAAUUACACAACGUACACACAGAUAUUGUUAACAUGUUACUGACAAAAACAUCUAGGAUUAACAUGUUAAUGACACAAUCAUAAAGUGUCAACAUGCAACUCACAGAAACAUCAAAGUUUAAAUGCAAUCACAUAUACACUAACACACACACUUACACAAAAAUGUGUUACUGUGUUAACACUAAUUUAAAAUUAAAUUUACUGUCAAACCUAAUUAUAGCAAAUAUCCAACUUGAAUACCAUACUUCAUGUCUGUCAUGUAUUUUUUUUUUGUUUACUGCUAUGUUAUAAAAUGGGCUGUUAAUUUUCUCAAUUGGAUUGUUUCGUAUUUUUCAUAUCAGGCCUUUUAUAGCCAACUUUAAACAAAUAUAUAUAUGUGUGUUUGAAAUAAAGGUAAGGAUACUUUGUUCUUUCUAAUUUUGUAAGAUUUCAAAAAUUGAUUGAAAUAACAACAUUUUUUAAUGUGAUAUAAAAAAGAAGAUGUGGUAUGAUUGCCAAUGAGACAACUGUCCACAAGAGUCCAACAUGACACAGACAUUAACAACUAUAGGUCACCAACGGGCUUCAACAAUGAGCAAAGCCCAUACCGCAUAGUCAGCUAUAAA
rnacentral:lncRNA from 1 species